AUUGAACGCUGGCGGCAUGCCUUACACAUGCAAGUCGAACGGCAGCACGGGAGCAAUCCUGGUGGCGAGUGGCGAACGGGUGAGUAAUAUAUCGGAACGUGCCCAGUGAUGGGGGAUAGCCCGGCGAAAGCCGGAUUAAUACCGCAUACGACCUACGGGUGAAAGCAGGGAGUCGCAAGACCUUGCGUCAUUGGAGCGGCCGAUAUCAGAUUAGCUUGUGGUGGGGUAAAGGACCUACCAAGGCGACGAUCUGUAGCUGGUCUGAGAGGACGACCAGCCACACUGGGACGUGAGACACGGCCCAGACUCCUACGGGAGGCAGCAGUGGGGAAUUUUGGACAAUGGGCGCAAGCCUGAUCCAGCCAUGCCGCGUGCGGG
rnacentral:rRNA from 1 species